rnacentral:rRNA from 1 species
GACGAACGCUGGCGGCGUGCUUAACACAUGCAAGUCGAACGGAAGGGCCCUGCUUUUGUGGGGUGCUCGAGUGACGAACGGGUGAGUAACACGUGAGUAACCUGCCCUUGACUUUGGGAUAACUUCAGGAAACUGGGGCUAAUACCGGAUAGGAGCUCCUGCUGCAUGGUGGGGGUUGGAAAGUUUCGGCGGUUGGGGAUGGACUCGCGGCUUAUCAGCUUGUUGGUGGGGUAGUGGCUUACCAAGGCUUUGACGGGUAGCCGGCCUGAGAGGGUGACCGGCCACAUUGGGACUGAGAUACGGCCCAGACUCCUACGGGAGGCAGCAGUGGGGAAUAUUGCACAAUGGGCGGAAGCCUGAUGCAGCAACGCCGCGUGCGGGAUGACGGCCUUCGGGUUGUAAACCGCUUUCGCCUGUGACGAAGCGUGAGUGACGGUAAUGGGUAAAGAAGCACCGGCUAACUACGUG